rnacentral:rRNA from 1 species
UACUGGAGACAGGUGGCUGCAUGGCUGUCGUCAGCUCGUGUCGUGAGAUGUUGGGUUAAGUCCCGCAACGAGCGCAACCCUUGCCUUUAGUUGCCAGCAGUUCGGCUGGGCACUCUAAAGGGACUGCCGGUGUUAAACCGGAGAAGGUGGGGAUGACGUCAAGUCCUCAUGGCCUUUAUGACCAGGGCUACACACGUACUACAAUGGCCGAUACAAAGGGCAGCGACACUGCGAGGUGAAGCCAAUCCCGUAAAAUCGGUCUCAGUCCGGAUUGGAGUCUGCAACUCGACUCCAUGAAGUUGGAAUCGCUAGUAAUCGUGGAUCAGCAUGCCACGGUGAAUACGUUCCCGGGCCUU